rnacentral:rRNA from 1 species
CGCAGCCGCGGUAAUUCCAGCUCCAAUAGCGUAUAUUAAAGUUGUUGCAGUUAAAAAGCUCGUAGUUGAAUUUCGGGAUCAGUAGGUUGGUCAUGCCUUUGGUAUGUACUGGCCUCACUGAUUCCUCCCUCUUGAAGAACUGUAAUGUUAUUAAUUUGGUGUUGCGGGGAAUCAGGACUGUUACUUUGAAAAAAAUUAGAGUGUUUAAAGCAGGCUUACGCUUGAAUACAUUAGCAUGGAAUAAUGAAAUAGGACGUUUGAUCCUAUUUUGUUGGUUUCUAGGAUUGACGUAAUGAUUAAUAGGGAUAGUUGGGGGCAUUAGUAUUCAAUUGUCAGAGGUGAAAUUCUUGGAUUUAUUGAAGACUAACUACUGCGAAAGCAUUUGCCAAGGAUGUUUUCAUUAAUCAAGAACGAAAGUUAGGGGAUCGAAGACGAUCAGAUACCGUCGUAGUCUUAACCAUAAACUAUGCCGACUAGGGAUCGGAUGAUGUUAAUUUUUUCAAUGACUCAUUCGGCGCCU